rnacentral:lncRNA from 1 species
AUGUGCGGAGACUAGAAUACCUCAGCUCUAGCAACCAUAAUAAAUUCCGGGAGUACACAUGGUAGAAAAGAUUUGAACUCAAAAUCUCUUGAGAAAAAAGACAUCAAUGAUAGAAGAGAAUUCAGAUUAAGACCCAGAUAUGGUUGCAUAAAAAAGGAGGGUGGAGGAGAGAUCAGACUUACGAGCCAUCGAGCCACUCGGGGUCAACCAAGCUGCCACCACCUUUAACAGCAGGGAUCCAUGACUUUUUUGGUUGAGCAGCAGCUACCACCACCAACUUCCUUGUACCAACUGGAAAACUUCCAGUUCUACUAGCUCCAAUUCCCAGCAAGGCUUGGUUCCUCUUCCCUCCGCACAAGAAAGAAGACCCCAGUCCGUUUAGGACAGCUCCAGCGGUAGCAGCCAUCUCUCUGGUUCAAGAAGAUGAAGUUGGUUUCUAUGCAAGCUUAGAUGAAAGUAGCGGCGCCUCCUGAGCGAGGUUGUUUCCUUUGG